GAUUCAGUAGUGUAGGGGUAUCAUGGGCGCUUGCCAUUCCAACGAUCAUCAGAUCCGACGACAGCAAUUCUGCGCCCGACCCGGGUUCAAAUCCCGGCUGAAUCA